rnacentral:rRNA from 1 species
GACGAACGCUGGCGGCGUGCCUAACACAUGCAAGUCGAGCGGAGCCAAUUAACAGAUCCCUUCGGGGUGAAGUUGAGGAAGCUUAGCGGCGGACGGGUGAGUAACGCGUGAGUAACCUGCCUGUAAGAGGGGGAUAACACAGAGAAAUCUGUGCUAAUACCGCAUAUUGAGUAUUUAUUGCAUGAUAAAUACUUGAAAGAUUUAUCGCUUACAGAUGGACUCGCGUCUGAUUAGCUAGUUGGUAAGGUAACGGCUUACCAAGGCGACGAUCAGUAGCCGAACUGAGAGGUUGAACGGCCACAUUGGGACUGAGAUACGGCCCAGACUCCUACGGGAGGCAGCAGUGGGGAAUAUUGGGCAAUGGGCGAAAGCCUGACCCAGCGACGCCGCGUGAGGGAAGAAGGUCUUCGGAUUGUAAACCUUGUUGACAGGGAAGAAGAAAGUGACGGUACCUGUAAAGAAAGCCACGGCUAACUACGUG